rnacentral:rRNA from 1 species
CCUACGGGCGGCAGCAGUGAGGAAUAUUGGUCAAUGGGCGCAAGCCUGAACCAGCCAAGUAGCGUGAGGGAUGACGGCCCUACGGGUGGUAAACUUCUUUUAUAAAGGAAUAAAGUGAGGCACGUGUGCCUUUUUGUAUGUACUUUAUGAAUAAAGAUCGGCUAACUCCGUGCCAGCAGCCGCGGUAAUACGGAGGAUCCGAGCGUUAUCCGGAUGUAUUGGGUUUAAAGGGAGCGUAGAUGGGUUGUUAAGUCAGAUGUGAAAGUUUGCGGCUCAACCGUAAAAUUGCAAUGGAUACUGGCAGCCUUGAGUACAGUUGAGGUAGGUGGAAUUCGUGGUGUAGCGGUGAAAUGCUUAGAUAUCACGAAGAACUCCGAUUGCGAAGGCAGCUUACUAAACUGCCACUGACAUUGAUGCUCGAAAGUGUGGGUAUCAAACAGGAUUAGAUACCCCAGUAGUC